CCUGGUCACAUGACGCCUUUCUGUGCGCUCCUUCUCAUCUCAGCACUCAAUCCCGGCGAGUGCAGGCAUCACUGAAGACCUGACACCGGCGGAAUCGGACGUCUGCUGUCCUCGGCAGAGCUAAUCAGGUGAUAUGCAAACUGUAUCGCCGUCAGAUGAAGCUGUCCAUCCGAAUAAGUCCGCUUCAUCGGAGGAACAGACUUUUUUCCGUCUCCAAACGACCGGAGAGGCGCAAGGGCGAGACGAUAACGCCCAAAAGUUAUUGAAAUGAAUCGACCUGGCACAAGAAGAAGAAACAGAACAAGCGCUUGCAGCGUUAGCCUUCACGCAGUGGGAAUGAAGGGAAGCAGCAGAGCAAAUGAGAAGAAGAUAAGAGUGAUGAAAGAGAGGUCCAGACAUGAAGGAGGCACGCAUUUACUCACACACACAUGCUACGGCACCUAGAGUCUGUCUGCGGUCUACCACCACCACACUGCCAAAUACACACACAUGCCUUUUACGGGCAGCAGAUAAAGAGGGAGACGCCAUUCCAGCUGUGAGGAGACAGAAGAAGUCAACACACACACACACACACACACACACACACACACACACACACAGCCGGAGGCGCGUGAGCAGGUGAGCAUUAAGCUAAACAGAUCACGUCGCGGUAUGAUAUCUGCAGACAGGCAGACAGAGGAGGCCGGUCUGUACCUGCAGGCAGAGAGCAACAACUCCCAGCACCCUUGCUAGGAAUUUUAUCCCCCUUCAGAGAAAGGAAGAGAGAGAGAGAGAGAGAGAGAGAGAGAGAGAGAGAGAGAGAGAGAG